rnacentral:lncRNA from 1 species
AUGCCAUACUUUUAGAAGAUGUCAGUGCUGUGGAAUGAGAUGGCCAACCAUCAUAUGUAUGCUGCAACUCAGAGAUACAGCUGUGAAUUCUCAGAAUACGGUACUGAUGGCCCUGUCGUCCAAUGCAUCCAAUGUCUGAUUUUCAUCUUGGCCAGCUGUGAGCGUUAACCAAGACUUUUCUCUCUGUGUGCCUGUAAAAAUUUUGUAGGUCCAGGAUGGUUGGAUAUUAUUUCAUAAAGCCUUAGUCUAGUGAGUUCUAAUAAUUCUUGAUCUUUCCCAAAGAAAUACUGCUCGAGUAUUCCCCAAUAGCAAAGUAACUAAGCAUCCACCUUUUCCAACUGUAAUGCAGUUUUGGUAUGAGAAAAGUAUGCCUGGUCUCCGGGAUUUAGAAAGUAAACAUGGAACAAUUAGAAUGCGAGUGCCAUGGUUGGGGAGGCGGAUGUUCUGCACAUCCGCAUCCAGAGUGCCUCACUUCAAAUUUCUUGCCCUUUUCCUUUUUGCUUAAGUGUUUCUUGGUAUGUUGCCUGGGAAGUUAGAUAUGUUAUUAUAACACAGUGAGGAAUUAUGUAAGACGAAGCCCAGCUUGCUUUUCUUUUUCCUUCCAGUUCUACUAUGCCUUAGACAAAACUCAACCAUUCUCUUCCAUGAUGUAGAAUGGCUACUAAAAAGGAAGAAGAAAAGAAAGCUUUCAGAGGACAGUGGUAAACAAAUGCAUUAUGAUUUACUUAACAGGGAACUGUAAGUUUUUUAUGUCCAAGAACAUAGAACUUGCUUUUUUAAAAUACUUUCUAAAAAUUUUCUUUUCUUUUGUUUCUUUCUCCCCCCCCCAGAAGAGCUAUAGAGGUCUGGGCAUGGAGGUGGUUAACUGGCAUCACAUGGUGACAGCAAAAUGCACCCAACACCAAAGAAACUUCUAGACAGCGCCAGUGGAGGAAAUGUCAUUCUUCUGUUUUUUUGUUGCUGUUUUUAAAACCUCAAAAUGUUUAUGUGUGUCUAUAACACUGUGGCCUCUUUAAAGGGAGUCAAAAUGUCUGUAUUCAUUUUUGCAUGUCUCAGAUCUAACCCAGAGUAGACCCUCAAUAAAUAUUGAUUUAAAUAUCUGUUGAACA